rnacentral:rRNA from 1 species
CGAACGCUGGCGGCGUGCUUAACACAUGCACGUCGAACGGAAAGGCCCUGCUUUUGUGGGGUGCUCGAGUGGCGAACGGGUGGGUAACACGUGAGUAACCUGCCCUUGACUUUGGGAUAACUUCAGGAAACUGGGGCUAAUACCGGAUAGGAGCUCCUGCUGCAUGGUGGGGGUUGGAAAGUUUCGGCGGUUGGGGAUGGACUCGCGGCUUAUCAGCUUGUUGGUGGGGUAGUGGCUUACCAAGGCUUUGACGGGUAGCCGGCCUGAGAGGGUGACCGGCCACAUUGGGACUGAGAUACGGCCCAGACUCCUACGGGAGGCAGCAGUGGGGAAUAUUGCACAAUGGGCGGAAGCCUGAUGCAGCAACGCCGCGUGCGGGAUGACGGCCUUCGGGUUGUAAACCGCUUUCGCCUGUGACGAAGCGUGAGUGACGGUAAUGGGUAAAGAAGCACCGGCUAACUACGUG